rnacentral:rRNA from 1 species
AGAGUUUGAUCAUGGCUCAGGACGAACGCUGGCGGCGUGCCUAAUACAUGCAAGUCGAGCGGACUUUGCCUUCGGGUAAGGUUAGCGGCGGACGGGUGAGUAACACGUAGGCAACCUGCCUGUAAGACCGGGAUAACAUUCGGAAACGAAUGCUAAUACCGGAUAUGCAACUUAGCUGCAUGGCUGAGUUGGGAAAGACG